rnacentral:rRNA from 1 species
CAAUAGCGUAUAUUUAAGUUGUUGCAGUUAAAAGCUCGUAGUUGGAUUUCUGGCAUGAUGCGCCUGGCCCGCCUCAAUUCUGAGUGUGUGUGCGAGUGCGCGUCUGCCAUCCAUUUGCAGAAUGUGCCUACUCUUCAUUGAGCCGGGUACGUGAUGUAAAUCUUUUACUUUUGAAAAAAUUAGAGUGUUUAAAGCAGGCAUUUGCUAUGAAUACAUUAGCAUGGAAUAAUAAUCUAGGACUUCGGUUCUAUUUUGUUGGUUUCUAGAUCUGAAGUAAUGAUUGAUAGGGAUAGUUGGGGGUGCUAGUAUUGGCCGGCCAGAGGUGAAAUUCUUGGAUUCGGUCAAGACUAACUUAUGCGAAAAGCAUUCACCAAGGAUGUCUUCUUUAAUCAAGAACGAAAGUUGGGG